rnacentral:rRNA from 1 species
AUAAUACCCGAUAGGUCUCGAUUGCUGGAAUGCAUCGAGAUUUAAAGCUCCGGCGCCUAAGGAUGGGUCUGCGGCCUAUCAGGUAGUAGUGGGUGUAGCGUACCUACUAGCCUACGACGGGUACGGGUUGUGAGAGCAAGAGCCCGGAGAUGGAUUCUGAGACACGAAUCCAGGCCCUACGGGGUGCAGCAGGCGCGAAAACUUUACAAUGCUGGCAACAGCGAUAAGGGAACCUCGAGUGCCAGGUUACGAAUCUGGCUGUCGAGAUGCCUAAAAAGCAUUUCAUAGCAAGGGCCGGGCAAGACCGGUGCCAGCCGCCGCGGUAACACCGGCGGCUCGAGUGGUAACCGUUAUUAUUGGGUCUAAAGGGUCUGUAGCCGGCCGGAUAAGUCUCUUGAGAAAUCUGGCAGCUUAACUGUCAGGCUUUCAGGAGAUACUGUCUGGCUCGAGGCCGGGAGAGGUGAGAGGUACUCCGGGGGUAGGAGUGAAAUCCUGUAAUCCCCGGGGGACCACCGAUGGCGAAGGCAUCUCACCAGAACGGCUCCGACAGUGAGGGACGAAAGCUGGGGGAGCGAACCGGAUUAGAUACCCGGGUAGUCCCAGCCGUAAACUAUGCGCGUUAGGUGU